UUCACCCUACGGGACGCAGCAGUGAGGAAUAUUGGUCAAUGGGCGGGAGCCUGAACCAGCCAAGUCGCGUGAGGGAAGAAGGUACUGAGUAUUGUAAACCCUUUUGCCAGGGGACAAAGGCGGCCACGGGUGGCCGUAAGAGGGUACCUGGAGAAAAAGCAUCGGCUAACUCCGUGCCAGCAGCCGCGGUAAUACGGAGGAUGCGAGCGUUAUCCGGAUUUAUUGGGUUUAAAGGGUGCGCAGACGGCGAUGCAAGCCAGGAGUGAAAGCCCGGGGCCCAACCCCGGGACUGCUCUUGGAACUGC
rnacentral:rRNA from 1 species